AUUCAGACCCAGUUGAAAGAGACGUCCUGCAGUUUUUCUGGUUGUAGAGUCAAAAGUGCUUGAGUCAUUAUGCAUGUUAGUUUUAGGUUCUAAAGAAAUGAUAUGCAAUUAUGCUGUCAUUCUAGACUAUCAGAACUUAGCUGGUGUGCAGACACN
rnacentral:snoRNA from 1 species